rnacentral:rRNA from 1 species
ACACGACUACAUUAGAUACCCGUGUAGUCCUAGGACGUAAAUGAUGCGAGUUAAGUGGUGGGGCAUCUACGAGAUCGGCCCUGUGCUGGUAGGGUAGACCGUUAAACUCGCUGCCGUGGGAGUACGGUCGCAAGGCUAGAAAACUUAAAGGAAUUGGCGGGGGAGCACAACAACGGGUGGAGCUUACGGUUCAAUUGGAUUCAACGCCGGAAAUCUUACCGGGACCGACAGCAACAUGAAGGCCAAGCUGAAGACUUUGCCGGAUUAGCUG